GACGAACGCUGGCGGCGUGCUUAACACAUGCAAGUCGAACGGCAAGGCCCUGCUUUUGUGGGGUGCUCGAGUGGCGAACGGGUGAGUAACACGUGAGUAACCUGCCCUUGACUUUGGGAUAACUUCAGGAAACUGGGGCUAAUACCGGAUAGGAGCUCCUGCUGCAUGGUGGGGGUUGGAAAGUUUCGGCGGUUGGGGAUGGACUCGCGGCUUAUCAGCUUGUUGGUGGGGUAGUGGCUUACCGAGGCUGUGACGGGUAGCCGGCCUGAGAGGGUGACCGGCCACAUUGGGACUGAGAUACGGCCCAGACUCCUACGGGAGGCAGCAGUGGGGAAUAUUGCACAAUGGGCGGAAGCCUGAUGCAGCAACGCCGCGUGCGGGAUGACGGCCUUCGGGUUGUAAACCGCUUCCGCCUGUGACGAAGCGUGAGUGACGGUAAUGGGUGAAGAAGCACCGGCUAACUACGUG
rnacentral:rRNA from 1 species